AUUUGAUUGACGGUGCUUGCACCUGAUUGAUUUUGGUCACCAACGAUUGGCGGACGGGUGAGUAACACGUAAGUAACCUGCCCAAAAUCGGGGGACAACAUUUGGAAACAGAUGCUAAUACCGCAUAACAACGUUGUUCGCAUGAACAACGCUUAAAAAAUGGCUUCUCGCUAUCACUUCUGGAUGGACCUGCGGUGCAUUAUCUUGUUGGUGGGGUAAUGGCCUACCUAGGCGAUGAUGCAUAGCCGAUUUGAGAGACUGAUCGGCCACAAUGGGACUGAAACACGGCCCAUACUCCUACGGGAGGCAGCAGUAGGGAAUCUUCCACAAUGGGCGCAAGCCUGAUGGAGCAACACCGCGUGAGUGAAGAAGGGUUUCGGCUCGUAAAGCUCUGUUGUUAAAGAAGAACACGUAUGAUAGUAACUGUUCAUACGUUGACGGUAUUUAACCAGAAAGUCACGGCUAACUACGUGCCAGCAGCCGCGGUAAUACGUAUGUGGCAAGCGUUAUCCGGAUUUAUUGGGCGUAAAGAGAGUGCAGGCGGUUUUCUAAGUCUGAUGUGAAAGCCUUCGGCUUAACCGGAGAAGUGCAUCGGAAACUGGAUAACAUGAGUGCACAAGAGGGUAGUGGAACUCCAUGUGUAGCGGUGGAAUGCGUAGAUAUAUGGAAGACACCAGUGGUCGAACGCGGCUACCUGGUCUGCUACUGACGCUGAGACUCGAAAGCAU
rnacentral:rRNA from 2 species